rnacentral:rRNA from 1 species
AUAGCCGCAGUAUUCUGACUGUGCUAAGGUAGCAUAAUAAUUUGUCUUUUAAUUAAAGACUCGCAUGAACGAAGAGACGACGAAUAAGCUUUCUUAUGGUGUUACAUUGAAUUUGAUAUUUGCUUCAAAAAGAGCAAAUAUUUAAGAAGACGAUAAGACCCUAUGAAACUUUACUCUUUAAACUUUACUUUAACCCAGAAAAAAAGUAAAGUCUUAAGAGUUAAGCUGGGGCGGCAGUAAAUUAUACCUUUAUAAAAAAAACAUCAAUUAAUGAUUAGUGAGAUCUCUUUCAGAACUAGAACAAGUUACUUUAGGGAUAACAGCACAAUUCUUUCAGAGAGACCUUAUCAAAGAAAGAGACUUGUGACCUCGAUGUUGAAUUGAAGAGCCAGAUUUAAGCAGAAAUAAAUCUAGGGGGUCUGUUCGACCCUUUAUCCUUCA